AUUGAACGCUGGCGGCAGGCUUAACACAUGCAAGUCGAGCGGGGUGAUGGUACUUGCACUAUCACUUAGCGGCGGACGGGUGAGUAAUGCUUAGGAAUCUGCCUAUUAGUGGGGGACAACAUUUCGAAAGGAAUGCUAAUACCGCAUACGUCCUACGGGAGAAAGCAGGGGAUCUUCGGACCUUGCGCUAAUAGAUGAGCCUAAGUCGGAUUAGCUAGUUGGUGGGGUAAAGGCCUACCAAGGCGACGAUCUGUAGCGGGUCUGAGAGGAGGAUCCGCCACACUGGGAAUGAGACACGGCCCAGACUCCUCCGGGAGGCAGCAGUGGGGAAUAUUGGACAAUGGGGGGAACCCUGAUCCAGCCAUGCCGCGUGUGUGAAGAAGGCCUUAUGGUUGUAAUGCACUUUAAGCGAGGAGGAGGCUACUGAGACUAAUACUCUUGGAUAGUGGACGUUACUCGCAGAAUAAGCACCGGCUAACUCUGUGCCAGCCGCCGCCGUAAUAC
rnacentral:rRNA from 1 species